rnacentral:piRNA from 1 species
UAAGCUCAAAGGCAUCUGCUGAGCCUGCC